rnacentral:lncRNA from 1 species
UAAACCGAGUCAAGGUUUCUUCAAGUUGACAUGAUGAAUUCUCCUUCCAUGGAUGCUCAGUGUUGAUGUAAGGCUUUGGCUCUGAAUAAAUUCUCGCAUUUUUUUGAAAUAGAGUUUUUGCUGCAAGUUAUUUUGAAUAAGCUUCAAACAUCGCCAAGUUAGCAUAGAUUUCGUCUUGCAUGUCUGUCUUCACCUCGCCUACGAUAUAAAAAGAAGAAUACCUUAGUAGCACUGCACUAGAUAAAAAAAAUUAA